rnacentral:rRNA from 1 species
GCCGUGUAAAACACGGCAAGCCCCGCUAAGCGGGGCGGCGAAACCUGGGGAAGCGAAACAUCAUAGUACCCAGAGGAAAAGAAAAAAAUUUCGCGCGCAAGCGCGAACCAUUCCCUUAGUAGCGGCGAGCGAACGGGGAGCAGCCCAAACUCCGCUUCGGCGGAGGGUUGUAGGACUCCAACAUGGACCCGAUUUUGAUAGUUGAAGGAACCUGGAAAGGACCACCACAGAGGGUAAUAGUCCCGUAAGCGAAAACGGCUUUAUGCUCCUUGAUACUUUUCUUAAGUACUUCGAGUCAUGAAAACCUUGAAGGAAUCCGGCCGGACUAAUCGGCCAAGGCUAAAUACUACGAUAUCUCCGAUAGUGAACCAGUACCGUGAGGGAAAGGUGAAAAGCAGCCCGUUGAGGGCGGUGAAAUAGAACCUGAAACCGUCAUGCCCACAAAGAGCGGGAGCUCCCUCCCUUAAAAGAGGGGGUGACCGCGUGCUUUUUGCAGAACGAGCCAACGAGUUUCUCUGCUUUCUUUGUUUAAGUCCCUACGGGACGUAAGCGAAGUGAAAGCGAGGGUUAAAAGCCCAUUUUUAGAAAGCGGAGAAGACCCGAAGCCAAGCGAGCUUGCCAUGAACAGGAUGAAGGUCGACGAAAGUCGACCGGAGGUCCGAACCCGUGAGCCGUGCAAUACUCUGGGAUGAUUUGUGGUAAGAAGAGAAAAACUAAACGAGCUUGGUAAUAGCUGGUUCUCCCCGAAAUAGCUUUAGGGCUAGCCUUUGCCAUUUUAUUUUCCGGAGGUAGAGCACUGGAAAGAAUAUCUUGGAGUUUCUCCAGGUACUCUUACCAAACUCCGAAUGCCGGAAAAUGUAGGCAGGGAGUAAGACUUCGAGGGCUAAGCUUCGAGGUCAUGAGGGAAACAGCCCAGAUCUUAAUCUAAGGUCCCUAAGCUGAACUAAGUGUUUUUAAGGAAGUGGGAUUCCUUUGAUAGUUAGGAGGUUAGCUUAGAAGCAGCUAUCCUUUAAAAAGUGCGUAACAGCUUACUAACUAAGGAGUCCCGCGCCGAAGAUAUACGGGGCUAAGUUCAGCACCGAAGAUAAGGCUGAGCGCUCAAUUUAUUGAGCGCUCGGGGUAGGGGAGCAUUCUUAGUGCUGUGAAGUCCACGAUGUGAGUCGGGAUGGAGCGCUAAGAAGAGAGAAUGUUGGCUUGAGUAACCGCAAUCACGCUGAAAGCGCGUGACACCGAAAGCCUAAGGUUUCCUUGGCAAUGUUAAUCAGCCAGGGGUUAGGCGGAAGCUAACUGAUCACCUAAUAGGUGAUUGGGAUGCACAGCAGGUUAAUAUUCCUGCCCGCCCGUUAAUUAAUCUCAAGAUGACACAGUUCAAACGUUCAAGGGGAUUAUUGGAUUUCCCAUUCCGCGCAAGCGGGUUCUUGAAUAAUGGACUGGCUAGAAAAGUCUUGAGUAUACUAUCUAACGGGCACCGUACCGCAAACCGACACAGGUGGGCAGGCGUAAAUGCGCCAAGGUGAACGGAUGAAAGCUCCUGAAGGAACUCGGCAAAAAAGUGGUCGUAAGUUCGCAAUAAGACCUGCCAGGUGCAAUACUGUACCUGGCUGCAACAAAAGUAUCCCAAGCGACUGUUUAUCAAAAACACAGGUCCCUGCUAACUCGCAAGAGGAUGUAUAGGGGCUGAGGCCUGACCAGUGCUGGAACGUUAAAGUUGUCGGUCUUUGUCCCGCCGUUGGCGGGGUGAGGGCUGAAUGACCUAAGCGCCAGUGAACGUCCGCGGUAACUAUAAACCCACGGAUUGUAGUUAAAAAAUCUAGCUGUAUGCGGGGAAAUCUGAAAAGUAUCUAGCGCUACUCAACUCUAAAACGUCGGAGUAUAGUAAAAAUGCGUUAGUGCAGAUUAUCCGCAGGAAAGUUUCCUUAAGUUUCCAAAAACAUAUGGAACAAUGGUUAAAGCAAAUUCCAGUUAAUAUCGGCUAUUAUUUAGCCGGUUUCGUAGACGGCGAAGGAAGUUUUAAUCUUUCUCUAAGAAAAGGUGAUGGAUAUCGAUAUGGGUGGCAACUUGGAUUGAGCUUCAAUGUAUCUCAGAGAGACGAAACUAAUCUUUUUCUUCUUAAAAGAUAUUUAGGAUGUGGAAGAUUAAAAACAAGAAGGGAUGGAGUACAUUCUUUCGUCGUUGAAAAUUUCAACUCGCUGAAAGGACGAGUAAUUCCUUUCUUCGAAAGAUUUAAUUUUCUUUCUUCUCGCGUAAAGACAAAUUUCUCGAUUUUUACAAAAAUUGUAAAAUUGAUGGAUGAAAAAAAGCAUUUAACCGAAGAUGGACUAAAAGAAAUUGUAGAGCUUAGAGAAAAAUUAAAUGAAGGAAGAGGAAGAAAACGAAAAUAUAAUUUAGAAGACGUAAAUCUAACUUAGGGAAAAUCCUCAGAGACUAUACGCUAGACCCCGCUAAGCGGGGAUGAUAUAGUCCGAUCUUUAUGGCGACAUAAAGAGUCUCGCAAAAAAUGCGAGCGUAACAUAAAUGAACCGUGUUAAAGUAGCGUAACCCCUUGCCAGGUAAGUUCUGGCCCGCAUGAAAGGUCUAACGACUUGGGAACUGUCUCCAGGAGUUGUCCGGUGAAAAUGCAAUACCGGUAAAGAUGCCGGUUACCUGCGGCUAGACGGAAAGACCCCGGGAGCUUUACUGUAGCUAGAUAUUGAAUUUUGGUUUUGAAUGCGUAGUGUAGUGGGUAGGCUUUGAGCCUCGCCUUUCGGGGCGGGGGGAGCCAACAAUGAAACACCCAUCUUUCGGAACCAUUAUCCUAACCCCCCUUCGGGGGGAGACAGUGUCUGGUGGGCAGUUUAAGUGGGGCGCUUUUCUCCUAAAGAGUAACGGAGAAGUUUAUAAGGUCGGCUAGGUCCGGAUGGAAAUCGGACUGGUCGUGUAAAGGCGUAAGCCGGCUUUACUGCGAGCAGGAUAUUGCGAGCAGUUGCGAAAGCAGAACUUAGUGAACCGACCCUGGUUUUUAGGACCGGGGAAGAUCAUCAGCCAAAAGUUACCCCGGGGAUAACAGGCUAGUAGGGCCCGCGAGUCCAUAUCAACGGCCCUGUUCGGCACCUCGAUGUCGGCUCAUCUCAUCCUGGUGGUGGAGAAGCUACCAAGGGUCCGGCUGUUCGCCGGUUAAAGAGGUACGUGAGCUGGGUUCAAACCGUC